rnacentral:rRNA from 1 species
UAGGGGAGUGGCAAGCGUUAUCCGGAAUUAUUGGGCGUAAAGCGUCCGCAGGCGGACUUGUAAGUCUGUCGUUAAAGCGUGGAGCUUAGCUCCGUUUAAGCGAUGGAAACUGCAAGACUAGAGUGUGGUAGGGGCAGAGGGAAUUCCCGGUGUAGCGGUGAAAUGCGUACAUAUCGGAAAGAACACCAGUGGCGAAGGCGCUCUGCUGGGCCAUAACUGACGCUCAUGGACGAAAGCCAGGGGAGCGAAAGGGAUUAGAUACCCCUGUAGUCCUGGCCGUAAACGAUGAACACUAGGUGUCGGGGGAAUCGACCCCCUCGGUGUCGUAACCAACGCGUUAAGUGUUCCGCCUGGGGAGUACGCACGCAAGUGUGAAACUCAAAGGAAUUGACGGGGGCCCGCACAAGCGGUGGAGUAUGUGGUUUAAUUCGAUGCAACGCGAAGAACCUUACCAGGGUUUGACAUCCUGCGAAUCCCUUGGAAACGAGGGAGUGCCUUCGGGAACACAGUGACAGGUGGUGCAUGGCUGUCGUCAGCUCGUGUCGUGAGAUGUUGGGUUAAGUACCGCACCGAGCGCACACCACGUCGUUAGUUGCCAGCAUUCAGUUGGGCACUCUAGCGAGUCCGCCGGUGAUAAUCCGGAGGAAGGUGUGGAUGACGUCAAGUCAUCAUGCCCCUUACAUUCUGGGCUACACACGUACUUCAAUGGUACGGACAAAGGGCAGCAAACUCGCGAGAGCUAGCAAAUCCCAUAAACCGUGGCUCAGUUCAGAUCGUAGGCUGCAACUCGCCUACGUGAAGGAGGAAUCGCUAGUAAUCGCAGGUCAGCAUUCUGCGGUGAAUACGUUCCCGGGCCU